AUGGACUACAGAAUUGAUAAGGAUGGAAAGAUAAAAACCUUCCAUGCAAAUCUUCUGAAGAAGUACUACAGGAGAGAGGAGAGUGCAGGUGGGUUUGAUGUUGCUGGUGUCUCUGUUGUGGAUGAUGGCUUGUCUGAGGAAUGUAGCGAAGGAGAGAAUGAAGAUGUAAACCAUUCUUCGAGAAAGGAUAUUCUUCAUCUCCCCAAUCUUACCCCAACAGAAUCUCUCAAAGAUGUGCAGAUCAGUCCACAUCUAGAUGAUAAGCAGCGUGAGGAGGUCAACUCUCUUUUACGGGAGUAUGAAGAAGUUUUGACUGAUAUGCCGGGAUUGACAAACUUAGCCCGCUUGUUUUACUACACGAAAAGGACUGAAUUAGGCGUCACGAAUCUAGACGGGAGUGGGAAUAGAACCAUCAAAGUAUUCUCCACCGAAACAACGGGUAGUUCUCUCAGCAAGUACGGCAGCAGGCUGUUCUGGUCAGCUCAGUCACGUUCUACCACGAGUUAUGCCAUCACGAGCUUGAUCAACGAGUAUGAUAUGAAGUCAUCCACUCUCACGAUUCACAACAGUACGGUGACAUUGACGAGUGGCAACGAUCUUGCCAUCAGCCCUGUGACUACUCGGAUCAUAUCAAACACUCCAUAUAAUGAACCCGUUGCCAUCCAGGGUUGCCCUGACAACAUCGUCGUCAAUAUCGACGACAACGCUUCGAAUGCGCCAUCGAUCUCAUGGACCGAGCCCGUACUCAACAGCUGGUCCAGCUGUCCCACAAUGGUCUUUCUAGGUCCAGGAACUAACGGAGGCGAUUUCCCUUUGGGCAUAACCGAGCUGUCCUAUCGGGCCAGUGAUGCGGCAGGAAAUACAGAUGAUUGCCAAUUUUCUGUGACUGUACGCAGGUCUAGUGAUGAAACGUUGCCCCCGGCUACGGGACUGCCUGACUGUCGUCAAGUGCAUUCAGGUAGCACUGCGCUCGUCACUUCAUUUUCUUCCGUUCUUCUAGUCCUUUGCAUCGCCCUCUUCCUAAUCGUCCUCAAAUAGGUCAUUGAUCGUCCACACAUCUUCGCCCUCUUCAUUUAAGCUAUGCCGUGUCCAGCUAGUUGGUCGUGAAUACUCUGCGUUUUAUAUAACCAGAGCCAUGGCGAGAUAAUGCUAAAAACAAAGAGUGGCGGCCGUGCUUUUGCUCCAUCGUCUAUGUCGUUGAACAAUUCAAGAUAUAAAUAGGGCUAAGUUUGUAAGAAGGUAUAAGGUCAGGUAUAAAUAGGUUAAGUUUUGUUUUUUAGGCAGUGUUAAAUUUUGGAAAUUCGGUGAUCCCGGAGGAUUUUUUUUUGCAGGGGAAAUUAUCGUAGAAACGAAGAA